rnacentral:rRNA from 1 species
CCUACGGGAGGCAGCAGUAGGGAAUAUUGGACAAUGGGUGCAAGCCUGAUCCAGCCAUGCCGCGUGCAGGAAGAAAGCCUUCUGGGUUGUAAACUGCUUUUGCCAGGGGAUAAAAACACUUUGCGAAGUGGAUUGAAGGUACCUGGUGAAUAAGCCACGGCUAACUACGUGCCAGCAGCCGCGGUAAUACGUAGGUGGCAAGCGUUGUCCGGAUUUAUUGGGUUUAAAGGGUGCGUAGGCGGUUCAUUAAGUCAGUGGUGAAAUACGGCAGCUUAACUGUCGAGGUGCCAAUGAUACUGGUGAACUUGAGUACUGAUGAGGUAGGCGGAAUGGACGGUGUAGCGGUGAAAUGCUUAGAGAUCGUCCAGAACACCGAUAGCGAAGGCAGCUUACUAAGGAGUAACUGACGCUGAGGCACGAAAGUGUGGGGAUCAAACAGGAUUAGAUACCCUGGUAGUCCACACUGUAAACGAUGAUUACUCGAUGUUGGCGAUACACAGCCAGCGUCUUAGCAAAAGCGAUAAGUAAUCCACCUGGGGAGUACGCCGGCAACGGUGAAACUCAAAUGAAUUGACGG